AUUGAACGCUGGCGGCAUGCCUUACACAUGCAAGUCGAACGGCAGCACGGGAGCAAUCCUGGUGGCGAGUGGCGAACGGGUGAGUAAUGUAUCGGAACGUACCUUUCAGUGGGGGAUAACGUAGCGAAAGUUACGCUAAUACCGCAUAUUCUGUGAGCAGGAAAGCAGGGGAUCGCAAGACCUUGCGCUGAUUGAGCGGCCGAUAUCAGAUUAGCUAGUUGGUGAGGUAAAGGCUCACCAAGGCGACGAUCUGUAGCGGGUCUGAGAGGAUGAUCCGCCACACUGGAACUGAGACACGGUCCAGACUCCUACGGGAGGUAGCAGUGGGGAAUUUUGGACAAUGGGCGCAAGCCUGAUCCAGCCAUGCCGCGUGAGUGAAGAAGGCCUCGG
rnacentral:rRNA from 1 species